rnacentral:rRNA from 1 species
CGUAUCACUUAAAGUGAUUCAGCGGGUUACGAUUGACGGAGCGAAGCGACGUCAAAGCGUAUACAAAGUCGAGUCGGUUUAAGGAUACGUUCGUUGGGUAGGGGAGCGUUCUGUAAGCCUGUGAAGGUGGCCUGUGAGGGUUGCUGGAGGUAUCAGAAGUGCGAAUGCUGACAUAAGUAACGAUAAAGCGGGUGAAAAGCCCGCUCGCCGGAAGAGCAAGGGUUCCUGUCCAACGUUAAUCGGGGCAGGGUGAGUCGACCCCUAAGGCGAGGCCGAAAGGCGUAGUCGAUGGGAAACGGGUUAAUAUUCCCGUACUUGGUGUUACUGCGAAGGGGGGACGGAGAAGGCUAUGUUGGCCGGGCGACGGUUGUCCCGGUUUAAGCGUGUAGGCUGGUUUUCCAGGCAAAUCCGGAAAAUCAAGGCUGAGGCGUGACGACGAGGCACUACGGUGCUGAAGCAACAAAUGCCCUGCUUCCAGGAAAAGCCUCUAAGCAUCAGGUAACACGAAAUCGUACCCCAAACCGACACAGGUGGUCAGGUAGAGAAUACCAAGGCGCUUGAGAGAACUCGGGUGAAGGAACUAGGCAAAAUGGUGCCGUAACUUCGGGAGAAGGCACGCUGAUAUGUAGGUGAAGCGGUUUACCCGUGGAGCUGAAAUCAGUCGAAGAUACCAGCUGGCUGCAACUGUUUAUUAAAAACACAGCACUGUGCAAACACGAAAGUGGACGUAUACGGUGUGACGCCUGCCCGGUGCCGGAAGGUUAAUUGAUGGGGUCAGCGCAAGCGAAGCUCCUGAUCGAAGCCCCGGUAAACGGCGGCCGUAACUAUAACGGUCCUAAGGUAGCGAAAUUCCUUGUCGGGUAAGUUCCGACCUGCACGAAUGGCGUAAUGAUGGCCAGGCUGUCUCCACCCGAGACUCAGUGAAAUUGAACUCGCUGUGAAGAUGCAGUGUACCCGCGGCAAGACGGAAAGACCCCGUGAACCUUUACUAUAGCUUGACACUGAACAUUGAGCCUUGAUGUGUAGGAUAGGUGGGAGGCUUUGAAGCGUGGACGCCAGUCUGCGUGGAGCCGACCUUGAAAUACCACCCUUUAAUGUUUGAUGUUCUAACGUGGACCCGUGA